rnacentral:rRNA from 1 species
UACGGAGGGGGCUAGCGUUGUUCGGAAUUACUGGGCGUAAAGCGCACGUAGGCGGACUGUUAAGUCGGGGGUGAAAUCCCGGGGCUCAACCCCGGAACUGCCUUCGAUACUGGCAGUCUAGAGGAAGGUAGAGGCUAGUGGAAUGGCGAGUGUAGAGGUGAAAUUCGUAGAUAUUCGCCGGAACACCAGUGGCGAAGGCGACUGGCUGGACCUUUUAUGACGUUGAGGUGCGAAAGCGUGGGGAGCAAACAGG